GACGUAGGGGGCAAGCGUUAUUCGGAAUUAUUGGGCGUAAAGCGCUCGUAGGCGGGACUGGAAGUCCGUGUUGAAAGACCUCGGCUCAACUGAGGGACCGGCUCGGAUACUCUAGUUCUUGAGGCAAUCAGAGGGUGAUGGAAUUCCCGGUGUAGCGGUGAAAUGCGUAGAUAUCGGGAAGAACACCAGUGGCGAAGGCGAUCACCUGGGGUUGUUCUGACGCUGAGGAGCGAAAGCUAGGGGAGCAAACGGGG
rnacentral:rRNA from 1 species